rnacentral:rRNA from 1 species
AUUGAACGCUGGUGGAAUGCUUUACACAUGCAAGUCGAACGGCAGCACGGACUUCGGUCUGGUGGCGAGUGGCGAACGGGUGAGUAAUGUAUCGGAACGUGCCCAGUCGUGGGGGAUAACGUAGUGAAAAUUACGCUAAUACCGCAUACGAUCUAUGGAUGAAAGCGGGGGAUCGCAAGACCUCGCGCGAUUGGAGCGGCCGAUAUCAGAUUAGGUAGUUGGUGGGGUAAAGGCCCACCAAGCCAACGAUCUGUAGCUGGUCUGAGAGGACGACCAGCCACACGGGAACUGAGAAACGGUCCAGACUCCUACGGGAGGCAGCAGUGGGGAAUUUUGGACAAUGGGCGAAAGCCUGAUCCAGCCAUUCCGCGUGCAGGAUGAAGGCCCUCGGGUUGUAAACUGCUUUUGUACAGAACGAAAAGGUUUCUACUAAUACUAGGAGCUCAUGACGGUACUGUAAGAAUAAGCACCGGCUAACUACGUGCCAGCCGCCGCCGUAA